UAGGAUUAAGGGUGUGUAUCCACCAUGCCUA
rnacentral:piRNA from 1 species